rnacentral:tRNA from 1 species
GCAGUGGUGGUUCAGUGGUGGGACUCUCACAUUCCACGCAAGAGCCCCGGGUUUGAUUCCUGACCAGUGCA